GCUUGCACUGAUUAUUUUAGUGGCAAACGGGUGAGUAAUACAUGGGAAUCUACCUUGCAGUACGGAAUAACUAUUGGAAACAAAAGCUAAUACCGUAUAUUGCCGAGAGGUGAAAGAUUUAUCGCUACAAGAUGAGCCCCAUGCAAGAUUAGCUAGUUGGUGAGGUAAAUGCUUACCAAGGCUACGAUCUUUAGCUGGUCUGAGAGGAUGAUCAGCCACACUGGAACUGAGACACGGUCCAG
rnacentral:rRNA from 1 species